rnacentral:rRNA from 1 species
CCAAGGAGUCUAACAUGUGCGCAAGUCGUUGGGUCGUCUUCCCCGAGACAAAACCCGUUCGGCGCAAUGAAAGUGAAGGCCAUGCUCGUUCCGCAAGGUUCGGCUGGUGAAAGCGGGAUCCGCAUUGAGGGCUUUAGCGGUUCUUGUAGAGCCCUGCGGCGCACCGCUGGCCCGUCUCUUCCGCAACGUCGGUGAGGCGGAGCUCGAGCGUAUACGUUGGGACCCGAAAGAUGGUGAACUAUGUUUGGGCAGGACGAAGCCAGAGGAAACUCUGGUGGAGGUCCGUAGCGAUUCUGACGUGCAAAUCGAUCGUCAGACCUGAAUAUAGGGGCGAAAGACUAAUCGAACCAUCUA